ACGCUCUACAACCCUUUGUGAACAUACCUAUAACUGUUGCUUCGGCGGGUAGGGUCUCCGUGACCCUCCCGGCCUCCCGCCCCCGGGCGGGUCGGCGCCCGCCGGAGGAUAACCAAACUCUGAUUUAACGACGUUUCUUCUGAGUGGUACAAGCAAAUAAUCAAAACUUUUAACAACGGAUCUCUUGGUUCUGGCAUCGAUGAAGAACGCAGCGAAAUGCGAUAAGUAAUGUGAAUUGCAGAAUUCAGUGAAUCAUCGAAUCUUUGAACGCACAUUGCGCCCGCCAGCAUUCUGGCGGGCAUGCCUGUUCGAGCGUCAUUUCAACCCUCAAGCUCUGCUUGGUGUUGGGGCCCUACAGCUGAUGUAGGCCCUCAAAGGUAGUGGCGGACCCUCCCGGAGCCUCCUUUGCGUAGUAACUUUACGUCUCGCACUGGGAUCCGGAGGGACUCUUGCCGUAAAACCCCCAAUUUUCCAAAGGUUGACCUCGGAUCAGGUAGGAAUACCCGCUGAACUUAAGCAUAUCAAUAAGCGGAGGAAAAGAAACCAACAGGGAUUGCCUCAGUAACGGCGAGUGAAGCGGCAACAGCUCAAAUUUGAAAUCUGGCCCUAGGCCCGAGUUGUAAUUUGCAGAGGAUGCUUUUGGUGCGGUGCCUUCCAAGUUCCCUAGAACGGGACGCCAGAGAGGGUGAGAGCCCCGUACAGUUGGACACCAAGCCUUUGUAAAGCUCCUUCGACGAGUCGAGUAGUUUGGGAAUGCUGCUCAAAAUGGGAGGUAUAUUUCUUCUAAAGCUAAAUACCGGCCAGAGACCGAUAGCGCACAAGUAGAGUGAUCGAAAGAUGAAAAGCACUUUGAAAAGAGGGUUAAACAGCACGUGAAAUUGUUAAAAGGGAAGCGCUUGUGACCAGACUUGCGUCCGGUGAAUCACCCAGCUCUCGCGGCUGGGGCACUUCGCCGGCUCAGGCCAGCAUCAGCUCGCUGUCGGGGACAAAAGCUUCAGGAACGUAGCUCUCUUCGGGGAGUGUUAUAGCCUGUUGCAUAAUACCCUUCGGCGGGCUGAGGUACGC
rnacentral:rRNA from 1 species